rnacentral:rRNA from 1 species
GACGAACGCUGUCGGCGUGCUUAACACAUGCAAGUCGAGCGGUAAGGCCCUUCGGGGUACACGAGCGGCGAACGGGUGAGUAACACGUGGGUGACCUGCCCUCCACUCUGGGAUAAGCCUGGGAAACUGGGUCUAAUACCGGAUAGGACACAUGGAUGCAUGUCUGUGUGUGGAAAGUAGGUGUCUUUAGGGGCACUGUCGGUGGGGGAUGGGCCCGCGGCCUAUCAGCUUGUUGGUGGGGUGAUGGCCUACCAAGGCGGUGACGGGUAGCCGGCCUGAGAGGGCGACCGGCCACACUGGGACUGAGACACGGCCCAGACUCCUACGGGAGGCAGCAGUGGGGAAUAUUGCGCAAUGGGCGGAAGCCUGACGCAGCGACGCCGCGUGGGGGAUGACGGCCUUCGGGUUGUAACC